rnacentral:rRNA from 1 species
UACGGAGGGUCCAAGCGUUAUCCGGAAUCAUUGGGUUUAAAGGGUCCGUAGGCGGUUUUGUAAGUCAGUGGUGAAAGCCCAUCGCUCAACGGUGGAACGGCCAUUGAUACUGCAAGACUUGAAUUAUUGGGAAGCAACUAGAAUAUGUAGUGUAGCGGUGAAAUGCUUAGAUAUUACAUGGAAUACCAAUUGCGAAGGCAGGUUGCUACCAAUACAUUGACGCUGAUGGACGAAAGCGUGGGGAGCGGACAGG